rnacentral:SRP_RNA from 1 species
GCCAGGCACAGUGACACGUGCCUGUAGUUCCAGCUACUUGGGAGGCUGAGGCUGGAGGAUCUCUUGAGUCCAGGAGUUCUGGGCUGUACUGCGCUAUGCCGAUAGGGUGUCUGCACUAAGUUCAGCAUCAAUAUGGUGACCUCCGAGGAGCGGGGGACCACCAGGUUGCCUAAGGAGGGGUGAACCUGCCCAGGUCAGAAAUGGAGCAGGUCAAAACUCCUGUGCUGAUCAGCAGUGGGAUCGCGCCUGUGAAUAGCCACUGCACUCCAGCCUGGGCAACAUAGUGGACCCCAUCUCUU